CACAUGCUCCUUAGAUCCAUCUUUGUGAGUGUCUUUGUGCUGAGUUCUGCUGGAUAACUUCAGUUUCUAGCAGUUCCAGUCAGAGAUACUCAGCAACUUUUUGGUUGUACAGUCGAAGAUGCUUGAGUCAUUGGCAUGUAAGAGUAACAUAACUGCAUGUUAGCUUUCUGUUCUGAUAGCUGUGAAUGUACAAGUCACUUGCCACUAUCAGGACUUGGCUGGUAUGCAGACAGG
rnacentral:snoRNA from 1 species